AGAGUUUGAUCCUGGCUCAGGAUGAACGCUGGCGGCGUGCCUAAUACAUGCAAGUCGUACGCUUUGUUUUUAAUUGAUAUGAAGAGCUUGCUCUGAUUUGAUUUUAUCUGACAAAGAGUGGCGAACGGGUGAGUAACACGUGGGUAACCUACCUCUUAGCAGGGGAUAACAUUUGGAAACAAGUGCUAAUACCGUAUAACACUAACAACCGCAUGGUUGUUAGUUGAAAGAUGGUUCUGCUAUCACUAAGAGAUGGACCCGCGGUGCAUUAGCUAGUUGGUAAGGUAAUGGCUUACCAAGGCGAUGAUGCGUAGCCGAGUUGAGAGACUGAUCGGCCACAAUGGGACUGAGACACGGCCCAUACUCCUACGGGAGGCAGCAGUAGGGAAUCUUCCACAAUGGGCGCAAGCCUGAUGGAGCAACGCCGCGUGUGUGAUGAAGGGUUUCGGCUCGUAAAACACUGUUAUAAGAGAAGAACGACAUUGAGAGUAACUGUUCAGUGGGUGACGGUAUCUUAUCAGAAAGGAACGGCUAAAUACGUGCCAGCAGCCGCGGUAAUACGUAUGUUCCAAGCGUUAUCCGGAUUUAUUGGGCGUAAAGCGAGCGCAGACGGUUAUUUAAGUCCGAAGUGAAAGCCCUCAGCUCAACUGAGGAAGGGCUUUGGAAACUGGAUAACUUGAGUGCAGUAGAGGAAAGUGGAACUCCAUGUGUAGCGGUGAAAUGCGUAGAUAUAUGGAAGAACACCGGUGGCGGAAGCGGCUUUCUGGACUGUAACUGACGUUGAGGCUCGAAAGUGUGGGUAGCAAACAGGAUUAGAUACCCUGGUAGUCCACACCGUAAACGAUGAGUGCUAGAUGUUCGAGGGUUUCCGC
rnacentral:rRNA from 1 species